rnacentral:rRNA from 1 species
UACGUAGGGUGCGAGCGUUAAUCGGAAUUAUUGGGCGUAAAGAGCUCGUAGGCGGUCCGUCACGUCGGAUGUGAAAUUCCAGGGCUCAACCCUGGACCUGCAUUCGAUACGGGCGGACUAGAGUUCGGUAGGGGAGACUGGAAUUCCUGGUGUAGCGGUGAAAUGCGCAGAUAUCAGGAGGAACACCGGUGGCGAAGGCGGGUCUCUGGGCCGAUACUGACGCUGAGGAGCGAAAGCGUGGGGAGCGAACAGG